CGCACAUUGCGCCCGCCAGCAUUCUGGCGGGCAUGCCUGUUCGAGCGUCAUUUCAACCCUCGCGCCCAUCCGGGCUGCGGUGUUGGGGACCGGCACGUACGCCCCUCGCGGGCGGUAGCCGCCCCCUAAAUAUAGUGGCGGUCUCGCUGCAGCCUCCUCUGCGUAGUAGCACACCUCGCACCGGAGCGCAGCGCGGCCACGCCGUAAAACCCCCGACCCCCUUGAGUUUGACCUCGGAUCAGGUAGGAAUACCCGCUGAACUUAA
rnacentral:misc_RNA from 1 species